rnacentral:rRNA from 1 species
AACGUAGGAGACAAACGUUAUCCGGAGUUACUGGGCGUAAAGGGCGUGUAGGUGGUUUCGUAAGUCUGUCGUGAAAUCCCCGGGCUCAACCUGGGAAUUGCGAUGGAGACUGCAAGGCUAGAAUCUGGCAGAGGGGGGUAGAAUUCCACGUGUAGCAGUGAAAUGCGUAGAGAUGUGGAGGAACACCGAUGGCGAAGGCAGCCCCCUGAGUCAAGAUUGACGCUCAUGCACGAAAGCGUGGGGAGCAAACGGG